CCACGGGCGGCUGCAGUGGGGAAUAUUGGACAAUGGGGGGAACCCUGAUCCAGCCAUGCCGCGUGUGUGAAGAAGGCCCUCGGGUUGUAAAGCACUUUCAGUGAGGAAGAACGCCUGGUGGUUAAUACCCAUCAGGAAAGACAUCACUCACAGAAGAAGCACCGGCUAACUCCGUGCCAGCAGCCGCGGUAAUACGGAGGGUGCGAGCGUUAAUCGGAAUUACUGGGCGUAAAGCGCGCGUAGGUGGCUUGAUAAGCCGGUUGUGAAAGCCCCGGGCUCAACCUGGGAACGGCAUCCGGAACUGUCAAGCUAGAGUGCAGGAGAGGAAGGUAGAAUUCCCGGUGUAGCGGUGAAAUGCGUAGAGAUCGGGAGGAAUACCAGUGGCGAAGGCGGCCUUCUGGACUGACACUGACACUGAGGUGCGAAAGCGUGGGUAGCAAACAGGAUUAGAUACCCUGGUAGUC
rnacentral:rRNA from 1 species